rnacentral:rRNA from 1 species
UACGGAGGGUGCGAGCGUUGUCCGGAAUCACUGGGCGUAAAGGGCGCGUAGGCGGCGCGACAAGUCAACGGUGAAAGCUCGGGGCUCAACCCCGAGUCGGCCGUCGAUACUGUUGGGCUGGAGCACUGUAGAGGCAGGUGGAAUUCCGGGUGUAGCGGUGGAAUGCGUAGAGAUCCGGAAGAACACCGGCGGCGAAGGCGGCCUGCUGGGCAGUAGCUGACGCUGAGGCGCGACAGCGUGGGGAGCAAACAGG